AUCAAAUAUUUCUGCUUUUCCUUUCGUAUCGCCAGAAUAAAGAAGAGUGCAGCCAUCACGGCAAUUUACUAUAAUCCUUAGUAAAUAACUGACAACUAAUUUACCGUCCCUGCGGAAUUAUGUCUAGUGGAUACCAUUAAGGACCAAUAAUGCUGAUCAGAGCCUUCGGAGAGACCCAAACGUGCAGACGGUCCUCAGGUCAGGAACUGAGAUUGUCUAACAAAGUUAAGGUAAGGUGUUGUAGCGCCUCCAGGUGGCCAAACGUCCUGCUGAAUAGACAGAGCUGGAGACAAGCCCGGUCAAGCCUGUGUGCGUUCGUUUCAUUUACUCCAACAGAGCUGCUGUGUUGUUACUGCAGACAAUCUUUGUUUUUACAAAACAUUCUCUAAAAGCCUUGAUAUAAGCCAAAUUCCACAAAGGUCUGCCUUAUACCGAAUCAGUAUCAACCAGUACAAUGUAUAUAUAAUUUUUUAUGAUUGAUAUAUUACAGGGAGAUGGCACAUUACAUUACAAUUCGGCUCUCCUGCAAUUUAUUUAAAAGAGCCCUAUUGGCUUUCAAAACACCGCUUCUUGAAGCUUUGAAACCGUUUUGAAUCAGUAGGUCGGAGCGCGUGUCAAACUGGCCAAGUCAUGUGACUUCAGCAAACGAUACUUCAUUACGUCAUACUGUUUCGAAAUGUUGAUGGUUCGCCGCUAGGGGGUGUUGAUCUCCAGGUGAACCAAUGAACCAGUGUUUGUUAUCUAAAUUAUACACUAUUUAAUAUUUUUUUAAACACUAAUUCAUUGUGGCUAAUAGAGUGCAGUGGAUGUAACAACCUGCACGUGUGAUAUUUAUACAAGUGAUAUUUAUACCAGCUUUAGUUAAUGCUUAUUGUUAGAUAAUAGCUAGUUAGAUUCUAAUUGCAGUUAGCUAGCCUGAGCAACAUUUCACUACCUACUAUGUCAGUUGUCCAACAUUUAUCUCAAAUUAAUUACAGUUAUUGGCAUUUGUUAACAAAGUUUAUAUUCUGUGAUUAGAUUUG